UGUAGCAUUGUAGUUGACUGUACUAAUAAGCCGGACUUUAAAUUCGCUGACUUGGAAACUAGCUGUAGGUCUUACUACACCUGUCAUAACGGAUACUUCCAUGGCCAUAACUUCUGUUCCCCGGGUCUGGUAUUUGACGAGAGCAUGCAGAUCUGUAACUGGCCUUUCAAUGUGGUAACACCCUGUGGAACGAUUGAUAACAACUAUCUCGUCGGUUGAUCGGAUGAAAAUUGUUUAUGAGAAGACUUAAUAUACAGUCCAGUCUG